AUUGAACGCUGGCGGCAGGCCUAACACAUGCAAGUCGAGCGAGUGGCGGACGGGUGAGUAAUGUAUGGGGAUCUGCCCGAUAGAGGGGGAUAACUACUGGAAACGGUGGCUAAUACCGCAUACUAUCGGAUGAACCCAAGUGGGAUUAGCUAGUGGGUGGGGUAAAGGCUCACCAAGGCGACGAUCUCUAGCUGGUCUGAGAGGAUGACCAGCCACACUGGGACUGAGACACGGCCCAGACUCCUACGGGAGGCAGCAGUGGGGAAUAUUGCGCAAUGGGCGCAAGCCUGAUGCAGCCAUGCCGCGUGUAUGAAGAAGGCCUUCGGGUUGUAAAGUACUUUCAGCAGGGAGGCGUUACCCGCAGAAGAAGCACCGGCUAACUCCGUGCCAGCAGCCGCGGUAAUAC
rnacentral:rRNA from 1 species